rnacentral:rRNA from 1 species
UACGUAGGGUGCAAGCGUUGUCCGGAAUUAUUGGGCGUAAAGAGCUCGUAGGCGGCUUGUCGCGUCUGCUGUGAAAUCCCGGAGCUCAACUCCGGGCGUGCAGUGGGUACGGGCAAGCUAGAGUGCGGUAGGGGAGAUUGGAAUUCCUGGUGUAGCGGUGGAAUGCGCAGAUAUCAGGAGGAACACCGAUGGCGAAGGCAGAUCUCUGGGCCGCUACUGACGCUGAGGAGCGAAAGCAUGGGGAGCGAACAGG